GGUGCGCGAUUAUUUCAUUAUUAUUAUUACUGUUAUUAUUAUUUCUUACUCUAAGAAAUAAAAUCGAAGAACCUUUUUUUAUGGAUGUCAAUAAUGUAUGUCGUGCGUAAGGUGAGAGAUAAUUGGAUUUUAGAUUUGCAGUAAAAAACGUUUUACAUGAUGGCAACAAAGAAUGGAUAUUCGCAUGAAAUCGCUGUCUAGACGCAAACGACUUGGAAGAGCUUCAAUUGUAAAUCAUAUAGCACUCGGACAAUCAAAAUCGUGCAAAAACGAUAAAAAUAAAGAAUAUAAUAAAUACAUUAAAAAAAAAAACCAACCGAAGAGAAUACGAGAAUAAGAAACGAUUGGCCCGUGAAAAUUAUUUCCGAGAGUGUAAAUUUUUUUUUUGUGUUUAUUUAAAUUAAGAUUUUAAUUUCAGAUAAUAUACACGUCUUACAUAGAAAACAGAGCCGCGCGUUAUCGCAGCCACGGAUGAUGUGACGGCACGGCCCACAAACAUGACUUGGCUGUUUUGGCCAGAAAAAUACUCGGCUCGGCCCGGGUCACUGUGUUCAGCUAGCGCGCGUGUACGAUGAUUUUCAUUGUAUGGAAAAAUAUCAAAACGAUAUUAUCAAUCAUAACCGAGAAUUCUAUUUUAUAUCCGCAGUCGAGGUAUAGGUAGGUAUCAAUAAGACACGCACACAAUGUAUUAUUAUGUACGUAUACCUGAAGCAGGAGUGUUGCAGGACAUUCUAAAAGGCAUUAUAUUAUUAAAGUAAAUUUUAAAACACUGUCAAUAUCCUGCGGAACAAACGCCAACAGAACGCCAGUUUAGAUUAAUAGUGUUUGCAGCUAUAUUUAAAAACUGAUAGACGUAUACGAAAAAAAAAGUGGUAACAAUUUUACAAUUUGCACUCGUCAGUCGUCGAGAUAAUAUAGGAGUGGAAAGAUAAUCACUGCAGCUGCAGCUGUGUACUGAAACAAAGACCGCGAUCUAAAAAAACAAUAUGAAUCGUUUUCAAUGAAGCCACAAAGCCUAAACCAGUCGUUUUUCUUAGGUACACGUUCGUUUUAAUCCCGAACCUUGAACGCUCUGUGGCGUGCGUACAGAUUUAACGCGAGAUUGAUAGUUUAAAACAGAACAUAAUGCAUACAUCACUAUAGAUACUUGAAAUAUCCGUACGUGCUGUGGACAUAGGUUUUGAGAAUGAUACAUACAGUGUUAUUCACCAAUACAAUGUUUAGGGUCAGUCUUCGUAAAAAAAAAAAAAAAAAAACAUCGCG